UACGGAGGAUCCAAGCGUUAUCCGGAUUUAUUGGGUUUAAAGGGUGCGUAGGCGGCCUAUUAAGUCAGGGGUGAAAGACGGUGGCUCAACCAUCGCAGUGCCUUUGAUACUGAUGGGCUUGAUUACACUUGAGGUAGGCGGAAUGUGACAAGUAGCGGUGAAAUGCAUAGAUAUGUCACAGAACACCAAUUGCGAAGGCAGCUUACUAAGGUGUCAAUGACGCUGAGGCACGAAAGCGUGGGGAUCAAACAGG
rnacentral:rRNA from 1 species